UCCAGCAUGGUGUAGUGGUUUGAGCAUUGGACUAUGACUCUGGAGACCAGGGUUCGAAUCUUGCUGGGU